GGAGGUGGUGGGGAUAGAACUGGCGGCGGUGGAGAAUGGAUCGGCGGUGGUGGUGGGGAGAAUGUCGGUGGAGGCGGUGAGUGAACCGGUGCCGGAGGUGGUGGGGAAUGGACUGGUGGCGGCGGUGAGUGAACCGGUGUCGGAGGUGGUGGGGAAUGGACUGGUGGCGGUGGUGAGUGAACCGGUGCCGGAGGUGGUGGG
rnacentral:lncRNA from 1 species